GCUGACAUGGUCAGUGGGGAGUGCCGGGUGGUGACGGAUACCACGGAAAUCGAUGUCGGGUGCCAACAUCGUUUGGAUCAAUGUGUUGAUGC
rnacentral:tRNA from 1 species